ACGGUACCGGAAGAAUAAGCACCGGCUAACUUCGUGCCAGCAGCCGCGGUAAUACGAAGGGUGCAAGCGUUACUCGGAAUUACUGGGCGUAAAGCGUGCGUAGGUGGUUCGUUAAGUCCGAUGUGAAAGCCCUGGGCUCAACCUGGGAAUGGCAUUGGAUACUGGCGGGCUAGAGUGCGGUAGAGGGUAGUGGAAUUCCCGGUGUAGCAGUGAAAUGCGUAGAGAUCGGGAGGAACAUCCGUGGCGAAGGCGACUACCUGGACCAGCACUGACACUGAGGCACGAAAGCGUGGGGAGCAAACAGGAUUAGAUACCCUGGUAGUCCACGCCCUAAACGAUGCGAACUGGAUGUUGGGCUCAACUUGGAGCUCAGUAUCGAAGCUAACGCGUUAAGUUCGCCGCCUGGGGAGUACGGUCGCAAGACUGAAACUCAAAGGAAUUGACGGGGGCCCGCACAAGCGGUGGAGUAUGUGGUUUAAUUCGAUGCAACGCGAAGAACCUUACCUGGCCUUGACAUGCACGGAACUUUCCAGAGAUGGAUUGGUGCCUUC
rnacentral:rRNA from 1 species